ACUCUGUCAGGGUCUCUCUCCAUGCAAGGAACGCACUCUGUCCAAAUAAUGAGCAGGAUGUCGAGGAGUUCGGGGGAUUACAUCAGUAUCCAGGCGAUCUAAAAAUCUAUACGUGAACAUGACGAGUUACGGCGAGGGGUGUGGGCAGAAAGGGAAGUACGGAAUCUACACCAAGGUGUCGCAUUACCUCAAAUGGAUAAACCGUGUGAUCAGGAACAACAGCUGAGCUGUUUGUGACGUCGUAUUCAAAAUGGCGGUUUUUAGGGCUUAAGUGUAUAUUUUGUUUUUUACUCAGGACAUCUACAUAGGUCAGUGUUAUUUAUUUUGAUAUCUUGUUUUUUUUUUCAGUCGAUCUUUUUGACUGUUUAAAAUCACUCACACUACGCAGGGGGGAUGUUUUGCUCAAUGCUCCUAAUUGCGCAAAUUUGGUUGUUUAAACGCGUAAUGGUUCGCAGCUAUGUUCCACCUGUUGGCCCUUGCCUUUGUUUUCCAGACGAAGAGGGAUGCAGACGUUGGUUUGUUAGCAUGAAGCGAUCCUACAGGAAGCUGGGGUUGUUCAGAAAUCCACUCUAAGUGCUGUGCAUUGUAUCAAAGGAAAAAUAAUGAAAAUCAUUCGGGGUCACGGCCGUGGCCCGGGGUGUGUUUAGAUACAUAUUCAAAGACGAAACGUUUCCAAGAUUAAAGCAAACUUUUUCACACUUAAUCUGUGCAAUAUCGCAUCUCGCGACAAAAUGUUUAUCCAUUUCAUAAACGAUUCAUAAUAAUUAGAACCGACUGUCUAUACUUUCCUGUCUGCAGAGAAAGACCUACAGGGAUAUUGGAGAUGUACAUCUGGCCAUGGUUGCUUCAUUCAGGGUAUAAUGCAAACUCAAACAGCGUCCUAUUCCAUCCUCCUUGAGAUAUUCAAGUUUCUUGGAAAAUAAACGCGUGGCGGGUGCCGGCAGUGACCGACUACGUCUGUGGUUUAUAAUGAACGUCAGUCGAGGCCAUGCUUUCUGGGCUGAGAGCACCUAAACCCUCUCCUCCUCGCCUGUACUUUUUUAAACAAAAUAAUUUUAAAGUACUUCUACAUGUUUAACCUUCUGUUAAAAGAUAUGAGUUUUUACAUGUGGAAAUUAUUGUCAUCAGUUUGAAUAUACUUUGAAUCGUACAUGAUUACGUGUUGUUUGUCUUAUUUAAAAUGUGGCUGUAUGAUACAUGAAGUAAACUAAGACGUGGCGGAUUUAAUGCAUGAAUGAUAUAAAUAUUUUAGAAAUUCUUUCUCGAUAAAUUAAACGGUAAUUAGCAAAACACAAACCAGUAAUUGUUAUAUGUAAAGACCAGUAUUUUCCAAUUAUUGUAAUUAUCAUUGAAUGACGGCAGAUAAUUGUUGUUAUGUACCUGCACUCGACUGGCAUCAAUAUUCCGGUUUUCAGCACAGAUCACGUAAUCAACUGUCCUGAUUUUCCGUGUGUCAAGGCCGUUAUUGUUCCAUGUGUCAAGGUCGUUCUGUUCUAUGUGAUACCUGUUACCUGCUAUCAUCAGUGUUCACAUGUUAAGAUGUUAUUAUUGAGCAGGUAUUUGUUGUGUUUGUGUCUUGUUGAUAUUUUUCUGUGGCCAAUAAAACAGCCAUUACAUU
rnacentral:misc_RNA from 1 species